UACGGGGGGGGGCAAGCGUUGUUCGGAAUUACUGGGCGUAAAGCGCACGUAGGCGGCUUUGUAAGUUAGAGGUGAAAGCCUGGAGCUCAACUCCAGAAUUGCCUUUGAUACUGCAUGGCUUGAAUCCAGGAGAGGUGAGUGGAAUUCCGAGUGUAGAGGUGAAAUUCGUAGAUAUUCGGAAGAACACCAGUGGCGAAGGCGGCUCACUGGACUGGUAUUGACGCUGAGGUGCGAAAGCGUGGGGAGCAAACAGG
rnacentral:rRNA from 1 species